rnacentral:rRNA from 1 species
GGGACACGUGGUAUCCUGUCUGAAUAUGGGGGGACCAUCCUCCAAGGCUAAAUACUCCUGACUGACCGAUAGUGAACCAGUACCGUGAGGGAAAGGCGAAAAGAACCCCGGCGAGGGGAGUGAAAAAGAACCUGAAACCGUGUACGUACAAGCAGUGGGAGCACGCUUAGGCGUGUGACUGCGUACCUUUUGUAUAAUGGGUCAGCGACUUAUAUUCUGUAGCAAGGUUAACCGAAUAGGGGAGCCGAAGGGAAACCGAGUCUUAACUGGGCGUUAAGUUGCAGGGUAUAGACCCGAAACCCGGUGAUCUAGCCAUGGGCAGGUUGAAGGUUGGGUAACACUAACUGGAGGACCGAACCGACUAAUGUUGAAAAAUUAGCGGAUGACUUGUGGCUGGGGGUGAAAGGCCAAUCAAACCGGGAGAUAGCUGGUUCUCCCCGAAAGCUAUUUAGGUAGCGCCUCGUGAAUUCAUCUCCGGGGGUAGAGCACUGUUUCGGCAAGGGGGUCAUCCCGACUUACCAACCCGAUGCAAACUGCGAAUACCGGAGAAUGUUAUCACGGGAGACACACGGCGGGUGCUAACGUCCGUCGUGAAGAGGGAAACAACCCAGACCGCCAGCUAAGGUCCCAAAGUCAUGGUUAAGUGGGAAACGAUGUGGGAAGGCCCAGACAGCCAGGAUGUUGGCUUAGAAGCAGCCAUCAUUUAAAGAAAGCGUAAUAGCUCACUGGUCGAGUCGGCCUGCGCGGAAGAUGUAACGGGGCUAAA